UCGCGCAGUGCUCCCCCUUCC
rnacentral:miRNA from 1 species